CGUGCCCUUGGAGAUCUUUUGAGAUAACUACCUCCAUAGCUAAAGACCCUAGCCUGCUCCUCGACAGCACCCUAAAAAUUGUAGACUCUCUUCUACUAAGCAAUCGCAUCACCUAUUUUAGACUUUUCUAGAGAAAACUGCAGCAUUCCUAUACCGGCAUUUGCUGUAUACCUAGACACAGUCUCCUCAGAACAACACCGCUU
rnacentral:lncRNA from 1 species